rnacentral:lncRNA from 1 species
CUGCACUGCAAGCCUCAACAAACAAUGUGACUGUGCAGGCUACAAAUUGGUUUCCUGAACACUCUCCCUGACUGCCAUUGGUUGGAAAACAUAUAGUCCUGACCCAGUGUUCCUGUAUCAGGCUGAUCAGGAUGCAGAACAAUGUUUUGAUAGCACCUCAAGGCCAAGGAGGAGUACAACGGAGUAACUACUGUAGCGGAGGGCAAAUGAAGUUCAGCUGUGGUGAAGGGGUGAGACAACAGCGAGAGAGAUCGAGAGACGUGUCUAAUGAUGGAAUGCACACAGAGAGAUGAAAACCAAUGGAGACAAAGGAUGUACAGAGUGACCGAGAGAGGGAGAGAG